rnacentral:rRNA from 1 species
UACAGAGGGUGCGAGCGUUGUCCGGAAUCACUGGGCGUAAAGGGCGCGUAGGCGGCCUGCUAAGUAGAGGGUGAAAUCCUGCGGCUCAACCGCAGGGCUGCCUUCUAAACUGUCAGGCUGGAGCACGGUAGAGGCAGAUGGAAUUCCCGGUGUAGCGGUGGAAUGCGUAGAGAUCGGGAAGAACACCAGUGGCGAAGGCGGUCUGCUGGGCCGUUGCUGACGCUGAGGCGCGACAGCUAGGGGAGCAAACGGG